rnacentral:rRNA from 2 species
UGGGGAAUAUUGGGCAAUGGGGGAAACCCUGACCCAGCAACGCCGCGUGGAGGAAGAAGGUUUUCGGAUCGUAAACUCCUGUCCUUGGUGAAGAGCAAGAGACGGUAGCCAAGGAGGAAGCCCCGGCUAACUACGUGCCAGCAGCCGCGGUAAUACGUAGGGGGCAAGCGUUGUCCGGAAUGAUUGGGCGUAAAGGGCGCGUAGGCGGCUUUGUAAGUCUGGAGUGAAAGUCCUGCUUUUAAGGUGGGAAUUGCUUUGGAUACUGCAGAGCUUGAGUGCAGGAGAGGUAAGUGGAAUUCCCAGUGUAGCGGUGAAAUGCGUAGAGAUUGGGAGGAACACCAGUGGCGAAGGCGACUUACUGGACUGUAACUGACGCUGAGGCGCGAAAGUGUGGGGAGCAAACAGG